rnacentral:sRNA from 1 species
UAUAGUGUUUUUUAUCUGUACUGGAGGACCUUGAUAGCCAUUUAUUUUCAGCUUUCAAUCUUGCAGUUUAUUAUGUAAUCUGCAAAUUGUAAUUACUGGCUAAUUAAUGAGCUCCUAUUUCUUUCUCUAGGGUUCUCUAUAAAGGUGUCUUAAAAAGGUUGAUUUUGUUAUAUGAGUCUUUGUUUGGAUUGCUUCAAGAGGUCGCUAGGAUUCAACCAAUGCCUUACUUCAAAGAUUUUACCUUUCCUUCUGAUAUCACUGAAUUUUUAGGACAGCCAUAUUUUGAAGCCUUUAAGAAAAAAAUGCCUACAGCUUUUGCAGCUAAAGGAAUAAAUAAAUUGCUAAAUAAACUGUUUUUAAUAAAUGAGCAGUCACCAAGAGCCAGUGAAGAAACCUUACUUGGAAUUUCAAAAAAAGCUAAACAAAUGAAGAUCAAUGUACAGAAUAACGUGGAUCUUGGACAGCCAGUAAAGAAUAAGAGAGUCUUCAAAGAAAAGUCAUCAGAAUUUGAUGUGAGGGCUUUCUGCAACCAGCUGAAACACAAAGCUACUCAGGAGACCAGUUUUGAUUUUAAAUAUUCUCAAUCCAGACUAAAGACAACCAAGUAUUCUUCUCAGAAAGUGAUAGGAACUCCUCAUGCCAAAAGUUUUGUGCAAAGAUUCCGAGAGGCUGAGUCCUUCACACAACUUUCUGAAGAAAUCCAGAUGGCAGUUGUAUGGUGCAGGAGCAAAAAACUCAAGGCUCAGGCCAUUUUUCUGGGUAACAAACUUCUUAAAAGCAACCGGCUUAAACAUCUGGAAGCUCAAGGUACUAG